rnacentral:lncRNA from 1 species
ACAGUCUACUGUCCAACUCAUUUCGACUUAUUUGGACUUGGAAAGAAACACUUCUCAGUCUGCAAUGAGCCAUUCCAGACACUUGUCAAGUUGGACCAACUACAAGAAGGCUUUCCUCGAUUCAUUGCAACUUCCCAGAAAUACAGCCCUGGUCACACUCUCAAAAGAAAAUGCUUUUGCAGGGUCUCUAUGUGAGUGAUUUCUGGCCACUCAGACUUCACACAGAGAGAAAAAGACCCUCAACACACUCCCCCACCCCCACCUCCACCCUCAAGAGCAAGAACUUGCAGAGCAAUGAGCCUUGCCUAAAAAAGGAAGUAGUUGCUGAAGUUGGACGGAGAACGGUCAUGCAGAAAAUAUGGCUCAAACUGUUGCACUCUGAAGAGGACAGGGAGAGUCCUCUUCAUGAAGCCAUACAGACACAAGGCUUGUUUUAAAGAUUCACAGCGUGAAGCAAAACCUCAGCUAUAAUCCCAAUACUUUCAGGAGGACAAAACUGUGACUUUGAGACCAGCCCAAACUACAAUAAUUAUGAGGCUAGCCAAGGGCUAUGUGGCAAGCUCUCAUCCAAAACAAAAACAAACAACUCAAAUAAAACUGAUUCACCGGUUGCAACAUUAGAAUUCCAAACACUUCAGCGGCACCAUAGGCCCUAAUGGGCUCUGAGCCUACAGGGUACCAUUCACUUUUCUGCUUCAAACCUCUGCAGAUGCUGUGCCUGACAAUGAUGUGAUGCUAUCCAAGGCUGUUUCCUCAGAAGAUGCUGAUUUUUAAAACCUCCCCAUUCUGUGCAUUCUCUAGGAGUUAAAGGAAGCAAGAAAAUGAAAAUCAAUCAGGCUACAGGAUGUAUCAAAAAUGCCUUUUCUCACAUCUUCCUUGCAAACAGGACUCCAGGAUAGAAAAUUCAUUCCCAUCAGAAUGAGACAGGUAACAUGUGUUUCUCAACUUGGUGGAACAACAGACAGCAUCCUGGAGAGCUGCAGUAUUUCAAUCCAGUCACUAAACCACACAUUGGACUUCCUUCGCCUCUGCCUCUCUCUGAUAGCUAUUAGCUAAAGGAUCACAUAAAAAGCAGAAGAGGCCUUGGACAGUUUGCUGUGGUUGGGACCAGAUAUCAGAAGUCUCCAUUCUGUUGGCAUCCUUGAUAGGAUGCUGAGGGACCUUCAGAGAAGGAUAAAGUCCCUGCCUUGUUUCUAGGCUUCCCUGCCUAGAACAACAUUUGGAAAGCAACAAUGACCAAAAAGGAAACAGAACCCAAGGCAAGAAGAACUGGAUGGAUAAGGACACCCAAAUGGUCCAAAUGAGUUUGAAACUCAAAUACCAGACAAGUUGUACCCAGUUCAGAGGACCCUUCCUUGCAGAGCCUUUGAAGAAAGUCUGAUCCAUAAGAGUUGGGCUAGAAGAAAGGCAUGUUUUGAAGCCGGGUUGGGGUGAGUGGAGUAGAGGAUCUCUCUAACAGCUACAAGCUGAUUCCAGAGAUAAUAAAUGAGACAGAUUAUAAGGGAAUGAGCCUGGUGAUGCCUGGGUGCCAGCCUCGCCUCCAUAAAAAGGAAAAAGCCAGAUAAAUACCAGUCACUUCUUUCCAGGUAAAAACUACACAGAGGGGGCAUAGUAAAAGUGGAGCAGACAAGAGGGACCUCAGCAAAGAAUUCUGGACAUGAUUAUUAUGACCAUAAGGCAAAAACCAGUACUAGAUCAACUGGCUGACUGGCAGUCAUGUAUUAGUUAGAGGAAAAAAAAUUAUUUCUUGGUCUUACCUCAGUAAUCUUUGACCAACAACAAAAGUAUUCUUAUCAAAACUGUCCCUGGAGACUGGAGAGAUGUUUCAGUGGUAAAGAACAGUGGUUGCUUUUCCAGAGACCCUGGGUUCAAUUCCCAGCAUCCACAUGGCAACUCAACACUCCAGUUCCAGAGGAUUGGACACCCUCAUAAAGACAUAUAUGCAGGCAAAACACCAGUGCACAUAAAAUGAAAAAUAAGGAUAAAUAAAUCAUCUUU